rnacentral:rRNA from 1 species
CCCGCACAAGCGGUGGAGCAUGUGGUUUAAUUCGAUGCAACGCGAAGAACCUUACCUGGUCUUGACAUCCACGGAAGUUUUCAGAGAUGAGAAUGUGCCUUCGGGAACCGUGAGACAGGUGCUGCAUGGCUGUCGUCAGCUCGUGUUGUGAAAUGUUGGGUUAAGUCCCGCAACGAGCGCAACCCUUAUCCUUUGUUGCCAGCGGUCCGGCCGGGAACUCAAAGGAGACUGCCAGUGAUAAACUGGAGGAAGGUGGGAUGACGUCAAGUCAUCAUGGCCCUUACGACCAGGGCUACACACGUGCUACAAUGGCGCAUACAAAGAGAAGCGACCUCGCGAGAGCAAGCGGACCUCAUAAAGUGCGUCGUAGUCCGGAUUGGAGUCUGCAACUCGACUCCAUGAAGUCGGAAUCGCUAGUAAUCGUGGAUCAGAAUGCCACGGUGAAUACGUUCCCGGGCCUU